GUGAGUAACACGUAGGUAAUCUGCCGUAGAGUGGGGGAUAACCCAUGGAAACAUGGACUAAUACCGCAUAUACUCUUGACGCUAAAGCGUAGUAGAGGAAAGGAGCAAUCCGCUUUACGAUGAGCCUGCGGCCUAUUAGCCUGUUGGUGAGAUAAAAGCCCACCAAAGCUACGAUAGGUAGCCGACCUGAGAGGGUGACCGGCCACAUUGGGACUGAGAUACGGCCCAGACUCCUACGGGAGGCAGCAGCUGAGAAUCUUCCACAAUGGACGAAAGUCUGAUGGAGCGACAUCGCGUGAGGGAUGAAGGCCUUCGGGUUGUAAACCUUGGAAAUUAUCGAAGAAUGAGUGACAGUAGAUAAUGUAAGCCUCGGCUAACUACGUGCCAGCAGCCGCGGUAAUACGUAGGAGGCAAACGUUGCUCGGAUUUACUGGGCGUAAAGGGUGAGUAGGCGGAACUAUAAGUCUAAGGUGAAAUAUCGAAGCUCAACUUCGGAAACGCCUCGGAUACUGUGGUU
rnacentral:rRNA from 2 species